AUUCUCCUCUCAGAGUCUCAUCUUCUUUUCAGUCACGGCGGCCGCUCCCCUUCUCAUUCACGCCAUCAUCGUCUUCUCAGUCAUGCAGCCUCCUCCUCCUCUCCGUCACGCAGCCGCCAUCCUCCUUGUCUCCUCACGAAGCCGCCGUCCUAAGGGUACCUGCAGUAUUGAUUGUUUUCAACAAUGAAAAUGUAUAUGGUGGCUGAUGGAAAACCCCUAAAGAGAUGAAUGGCUAUCAUGCUUUGAGUGUUGUGAGUUCUAAACUUUUUUCGUGAAUAUAUACACAAAAUUCUCCCUUACUUCUAGACAUUAAGAACUCAAUAAUUUUAUUGGAACCAAUUAAAAAGUUUUUGGAAGUUUGUUUCUUAGUAUCUUGUUUUGCAUAACAGUUCAAUCAAUGACAGAUUUCAAUUGUGUUACUUAAUUCUAGAAUAUUAUUGCUAAGCGGCAAUAAUUUGAGAGAUAAUAUGUAACGAGUAUCACCAAAUGUCACUCUUUUAGAUUUGUCUUAUUAGUUAAGGAGUUGCAACUUAUGAAGUAAAUCAAAAUAAUAUGAUGGCGAGCAUAGUGGAAGGAUAAAUUAAAAGAGUGACAUUUGAAGAUAUUCGUGGCUCGUUACUUCUCAAAUUAUUGCCACUCAACAAUAAUACUUUGGAAUUAAGCAAUACUUUUGAAAUACUGUCAUUGAUUGAACUCUUAUGCAAAAUAAAAUGCUGAAAAACAAAUUUCUAGAACUUGUCAAUUGAUUCUAAUGAAAUUCUUGAGUUCAAAAUGUUUAGAAGUGGUAGAGAGUUUUGUGUAUAUAUCCACUAAAAAAGUUUGAAACUCAAUGCAUUCAAUAUCAGAGUUCGAAGUUAAAAAGGAGGGAUCCAUUGAAGAUCAAAGUCAAAGAUCAAUAAUUGUAAGGCUAAACUUAAAUCUUCUAGGCUUGAAAAGGAGAAUUUUUUUUCACAAAUAUUUCCGGUAAAGGAUUUAAAUCAACAUAUAAGACCAUCAAAGAUGAUAUAUUUUUCAAACUUAUAGGAAAAAGACUUGUAGAAAGAACCAAGUCUUGUUUUUCAAGUUGAUCCACUCAAAUUAAAAUGGAUUCAUUGAGAUCAUCCUCAUCUAAAUAUAAGGAUUUAAGGCCUUGAAAGUAUGAAAGUGUGUGAGGAGGUUGGUCUUGCAUCUAAUUUUUGUAGAGGUGAAUAAUUGAUAUUCCACAACUGAGAUUGAAAAUCUAACUUGCUAAUUUAUCUGACACAAAGUAAUUGACAAAAAGAACAAGGAUUUUAAGUGCAGUAAAAUUGAUAUACUGAAGGGAUGGAUAAAUGUGCUGAAGUCUCCAAUGAUAAUUCCCAACAUGCAUACGAGAUUCAACUUCAUCCUUCAAUUGUACCAUAUAACAUAUAAGGCGUCAUCAGAAGGCUUAAAAUAUCAUUCUGAAGGAUAUACCAUUUAAUUUGUAAGCAAUACCAAUCUAAUAAGAAGCAACGGCAAUUAUUGCUCCAGAGUCCAGAAUCCUUCCGAAAUUAGAGUACACGUUUAACCAAUUCAUCAAGAAGAUGCCAAGAAUUGAAGCAUUUACAAGUUGCAUGCAAGUGUCUUGAUUUGAUUGGUGGAUGCGUAUUUAGUAAUUAGUAUAAAUUGACAAAUAUAUAAGUUCAAAAUUUUCAUUUUCAAGGUGUUUAAUCAAUUGCAUACUGUUUUAUUUUUUCUGUGAGAUCUAUGUUAUGAUGAAGAUGAAAUUGCUCUAUUUCUUGACA